AGCGAACGCUGGCGGCAGGCCUAACACAUGCAAGUCGAACGAAGCCUUCGGGCUUAGUGGCGGACGGGUGAGUAACACGUGGGAACGUGCCUUUAGGUUCGGAAUAACUCAGGGAAACUUGUGCUAAUACCGAAUGUGCCCUUCGGGGGAAAGAUUUAUCGCCUUUAGAGCGGCCCGCGUCUGAUUAGCUAGUUGGUGAGGUAAUGGCUCACCAAGGCGACGAUCAGUAGCUGGUCUGAGAGGAUGAUCAGCCACAUUGGGACUGAGACACGGCCCAAACUCCUACGGGAGGCAGCAGUGGGGAAUCUUGCGCAAUGGGCGAAAGCCUGACGCAGCCAUGCCGCGUGAAUGAUGAAGGUCUUAGGAUUGUAAAAUUCUUUCACCGGGGACGAUAAUGACGGUACCCGGAGAAGAAGCCCCGGCUAACUUCGUGCCAGCCGCCGCCGUAA
rnacentral:rRNA from 1 species